rnacentral:lncRNA from 1 species
AUGCCUCAUUCACAAAUCUGGAGUUAUAACCCUCCCGUGUUUGUUCACUUUUGCAAAGUGACCGGUGCUAAAGUCUUUGAUCGCUUUGCUGCGAGAGCUGCAGAAAUACAACAGGCUCCAAUAAGAAAACGGACCAAGAGGAGGUCUCCCCUGCUUCAGAGUCGGCAUAAACCUGCCCGGCCCGCCGUCAUAUCUACAGUUUUCUCCAGGGGGCAGUUGGUGAAUCUUUUGACUGAACCGCUGGUACUUGAAAAACUAACUGAAGAUUUCCCCAUGAACAAGGGACCGUUUCAAAUGAUGCGAUUUCUGAAUUAGCUCAGGAUAUACACAGGUCUGCAUUUCUAAAUAGCUUCAAGUGAUUUCUGAUGAUCAAGAUAUAUUGUGAACAUUUUUGUGAACAUUAUUAAUCACCUUGAUAAAAAUAUCACCGAAAGAACAGCAAUCUGUUAACAUUAUUUUCC